rnacentral:rRNA from 1 species
CCUACGGGAGGCAGCAGUGAGGAAUAUUGGUCAAUGGACGAGAGUCUGAACCAGCCAAGUAGCGUGAAGGAUGACUGCCCUAUGGGUUGUAAACUUCUUUUAUAUGGGAAUAAAACGUUCCACGUGUGGGAUUUUGUAUGUACCAUAUGAAUAAGGAUCGGCUAACUCCGUGCCAGCAGCCGCGGUAAUACGGAGGAUCCGAGCGUUAUCCGGAUUUAUUGGGUUUAAAGGGAGCGUAGGUGGAUUGUUAAGUCAGUUGUGAAAGUUUGCGGCUCAACCGUAAAAUUGCAGUUGAAACUGGCAGUCUUGAGUACAGUAGAGGUGGGCGGAAUUCGUGGUGUAGAGGUGAAAUGCUUAGAUAUCACGAAGAACUCCGAUUGCGAAGGCAGUUCACUGGACUGCAACUGACACUGAGGCUCGAAAGUGUGGGUAUCAAACAGGAUUAGAUACCCUUGUAGUC